CCUACGGGUGGCAGCAGUGGGGAAUAUUGCACAAUGGGGGAAACCCUGAUGCAGCGACGCCGCGUGAGUGAAGAAGUAUUUCGGUACGUAAAGCUCUAUCAGCAGGGAAGAAAAUGACGGUACCUGACUAAGAAGCCCCGGCUAACUACGUGCCAGCAGCCGCGGUAAUACGUAGGGGGCAAGCGUUAUCCGGAUUUACUGGGUGUAAAGGGAGCGUAGACGGCAGCGCAAGUCUGGAGUGAAAUCCCAUGGCUUAACCAUGGAACUGCUGUGGAAACUGUGCAGCUAGAGUGCAGGAGAGGUAAGCGGAAUGCCUAGUGUAGCGGUGAAAUGCGUAGAUAUUAGGAGGAACACCAGUGGCGAAGGCGGCUUACUGGACUGUAACUGACGUUGAGGCUCGAAAGCGUGGGGAGCAAACAGGAUUAGAUACCCGAGUAGUC
rnacentral:rRNA from 1 species